UCUCACUUAGGCACUCAAUAGAACGGCACUGUUGACCAGAGAUAUAUCAAAUGGAGUGUUGUUGGAAAGCUGAGACUAGCAGCAAAACAAAAUUAAGCACAGCUAUUGCCAAUAGCAGA